GACGAACGCUGGCGGCGUGCCUAAUACAUGCAAGUAGGACGCAGUUGCGAACGGGUGAGUAACGCGUAGGUAACUGCCUAUUAGAGGGGGAUAACUAUUGGAAACGAUAGCUAAUACCGCAUACUAGUAGAUGGACCUGCGUUGUAUUAGCCAGUAGGUAGGGUAAUGGCCUACCUAGGCAAUGAUACAUAGCCGACCUAAGGGAGUGAUAGGCCCGACUGGGACUGAGACGCGGCCCAGACGCCUACGGGAGGCAGCAGUAGGGAAUCUUAGGCAAUGGGGGGAACCCUGGCCGAGCAACGCGGCGAGAGUGAAGAAGGUUUUCGGAACGUAAAGCUCUGUUGUUAAGGAGGCGGUACUUAACCAGAAAGGGACAGCUAACUACGUGCCAGCCGCCGCGGUAAUAC
rnacentral:rRNA from 1 species